rnacentral:lncRNA from 1 species
AUUGUCCAUAGGUUAAAUGUCAAUCUAGAGCACUGCCAGUAUGAUAUAAGAAGUAGAGCUUCACCUUGAAGAGGUAGUAGACAAUUGAUGAGGAGGUCGAUAAAUUACGAAAGAUGGAAUUCAUCUAAGAAGCCAACUAUCUAAAGUGGCCAGCCAAUAUUAUCAUGGUCAAGAAAGCCAAUGGAAAGUGAUGGAUUUGCAUCGAUUACGUUGACCUAAACAAACCCUACUUGAAG